rfam:Bacillus glycinifermentans strain GO-13 contig_36, whole genome shotgun sequence.
AGUCGUGGCGGCAACAUUAAACAGGCAUUAAGCCGCCAGCAUUCCCCUUAUUGGGGAGGUUGCA